AAAAUGGAAAUAAAGAUAGAUAUGUUAGGGCUGUGGCAAGGAAUGGGUGCAAGACUAAUGGUAUGUCAAUCAAUGGGAAGUUUAGGAGAGGUGAUUUGUACACUGGAAGGAAGAAGGAUGAUGUGGAUUCGUUGGCAAUGGAAGUUAGUUCAGAUUCUGAGAGUGGCUAAAUGGGGCAUGGAUAAGAAGAAAAGAAGCAGAAAUGGUGGUGAAUUUAGGAAG
rnacentral:misc_RNA from 1 species